rnacentral:lncRNA from 1 species
CUGGGCAUGAGUCAUCAAAAAUUCAUUUCAAUUUCAAUAAAAAUACCGCAAGACUUUUUUGACAACCCAUUACUUUGUAAGAUAACUCAAAUUUCGUUUUUCCGUGAUUAGAUAUCUAACAACUUCGCUUCCAACUCAAAUGGCUGUCACAUACUAAGGCAAAAGGAAUUGCUAUAAUUGCAAAAUAAUCGUAUUUUCACGUUCAAAGGAAGUUCAUCGGUCGAUUUGGAACAGGCAUACAUCCACAUUUCUUAUCAUCGUCACAGUUGUGUGAUUCACAAAGCACUUGCAAAAGCAAAAGUAGCAAUUUGAAAGUCAAAAGAAACAAAUAUUCCUUUCCAAUGUGAAUGAUGAGUUGCAGUACUCAGCUUCUAUUGUAUUAUCCCGAUGCCUUGCAUUAAUCUUCUUAGUUGUUUUUGCAUAUGAUUUAGUAAACAUAACAGUGAGUUCUUCCUAAGCUCAAUAUGGAGGUACGCCUGUAUGAAGUAAGGAGCGAGGUGCGAUAGGUUAUUGGUUAUACUUUAUUUACACACAUAUGUACAUAUAUCGAGACAGUAUACAAAUAUUCAAGUAUUUCAAUAAUAAACUCUUCUUCUAGCUCAAAAAUAUCCAUUUACAUAUACAGCGGUACAUAUAUAUGAUGAGACAAUAACCGGUGUGUUUAACGUGGGCUGACGAUAGUCUUACCCCAUGGCGCUUAAUAAUCGAGUGGAUCAAAUCAAUGCCUUCCUCAGCGCCCCGAGAAUACGGAGCCAAUUGCAAGUGUGGAAUGGAUACACUAACCACUUUGGAAGGAUUUGAGGUCCAUCUGAAACUUCUUCCGUACUUUGGGUUUGGCACCCAGUUGCAAUGCAACUCCACGUUGAACUAACACGAGGUCAGUUCCUCCGCAUUCGGUUAUUAAACCACAACUAUCACGAUACUCUCCGAAAUGCCGUGCUGCAUGAGCAGGUUGAAACGAGCUCUAAACAGGAAGCAGGAGCCUCCCGUGUUACCAGAAUUAAGUCUCCGGUCAGAUCUCGUAGCCGAAACUACUGCCAGUUGAAAUUUCAUACUUCUCUGGAGUGAUGAUUAGGGGUUGUACCAACAGUUACAUUGCACGAACACACCAUUUCCACAAGAAGAUAGCCCUAAUUCUUAGUUAAGCGCCUUCGCUGUCUAAACUACUCACGCACCAGUCUAAUUCUUCGGAGAUCGGUAAUGACUGAGCACUUUGGACACUCCGUGAUCACAUGCACUCAAAAAAUGCAAUUCAAUGGCGAAAAUUGUAAAGUUUUCGACGUUUGUUAACUCAGCAAUAGUGCAAUGAUGAACUUGAUUCAAUGUUUAGCGAUGGGCAUAGAUCACUCAAAACAUCGAUUUGAUAAGUCAUCUACCGUAUAGUCUUGACUUGGCACCGAAUGACUUAUUUUGAACUAAGUGGCCGACGUUUUUCGACUCCUGAAGAGUGGUAAAAAUGCUUCAACAGUUGGCUUAAGCCCAUGUAAAAGUGUAUAGAUCUUAAUGAAGAUUUUGAUAAACAAUUUUUUCACUUAAGUAUUAACAUUUGUUUUCGUUUUCUAAUUGCUGUCAUCUAGAAGAAUUUUACUCCCUAGGUAUCCCCGCAUCUCCAUAUGAUCAUCGGAAAUCCGGCAAUUCUGCAUCAAUAAUACACUUAAUCAGAACAAGGGAAGAUGUACCUAAUAAAACCUGCAUCGCAUCCAUUGAAACGAAGUGACAUACAGUUAAAAUAUAUCAGCUACUACACAUGAGAAUGAUGAACAAUGUUAUUGACCACUUUAGCGUAAGCACCGCUGCACGGAACGCUGAUAACCAACACAAGCACUUCUGAUUUAAUAUAACACAAUUCCAUCUAUAUAAAAUUAAACGUCAACUUACUGACGGAGGCAUCGAUGGUCACCUUUGACUUAAAUACAACAACAACACAUCCCUAGGUAUAAGAUGGCAGCGCAAUAAAAGCCACAGCAAGUGGACUGUUGAGCGUAUUGCAGCAACUUCUGCCUGCAGUCAACUCCUGGCAGCGCUCCGUUAGCUACUUUCGGCGCCAGCUACAAGCUGUGGCAUUGACAUCUGUCCGACAUUUAAUGUGCGUAAUCGUAACAGGUACCGUUAAACAGAUGGGUUGCUGUCAAGAUCAAGUGAUGGCUUAUGUUCGUACUUAGCUUAGUGUAAAUUUAUUGGCGUCUCUCGCAAGACGACAGGCAAUUAUGUGUGCUUCACACAUGCAAGUACUUACACUUCCACAUAUUAUAAUACACAAACAAGCCUACGCAUUUACUUGCAAGCCAUCAUCUUCGUAGCUCAGCCUUCCGGUACGUGAUAUAAUUUUUGGCAGCCAUGCCGGAAGAUGGAUUAUGAAAUAUAGAUGGGUGGAGGGUGAAGAUCUGUGAUGGCACACGAUACACGUGUUGAAAAAGUGAUGGUAUACCAAUGUAAAAUCAUUAUAACCAAAGUUACUUAUUAAUGUUGUUACUUCCUUUUGUAUCUGGCAUAUUAUUUUUAAGAUUUUCUCACAAGAAUAAAACGAGUUAU